rnacentral:misc_RNA from 1 species
CAACAUUCCAUAAUCUUCCUACACAUCAAUACCUUCUUUAAAUACAAUAGUGUUGCUACUAUCAAUGGUUUUUGAAAAGGGUAUCUGAAAUUAAUUGGUCCAGAUUAAAAAAAAGAAAGAAAAAAGAGAGAAAGAAAUGGCCCCAAGGCCGGGAAGAGGCAAGUCAAAUAAAGCUAAGGCAGAGAAGAAAAAGAAAGAGGAGAAAGUGGUAGCGCCCAGCCUUCUUGACAUCAUUGUGAUCACUCCAUAUGAUACACAAGUUGUUCUGAAGGGUAUCUCCACUGACAGGAUACUUGAUGUGAAGAAGCUAUUGGCUGUGAAAGUAGAAACAUGCCACCUUACAAACUAUUCUUUAUCUCAUGAAGUUAAAGGGCAGAGAUUGAAUGACAGAGUGGAAAUUGCUACCUUGAAGCCAUGUUUGCUGAAAAUGGUUGAAGAGGACUACGCUGAGGAAGCUCAAGCCGUAGCUCACGUCCGGAGGCUUCUGGACAUCGUCGCUUGCACCACCAGGUUCAACAAGUCCAAGCGAUCAUCGCCAUCAACGCCGCCAUCAGAAUCCAAAUUCAAAAAGGCUAA